rnacentral:rRNA from 1 species
AGUGAACGCUGGCGGUAGGCCUAACACAUGCAAGUCGAACGGCAGCACAGUAAGAGCUUGCUCUUACUGGUGGCGAGUGGCGGACGGGUGAGGAAUACAUCGGAAUCUACUUUUUCGUGGGGGAUAACGUAGGGAAACUUACGCUAAUACCGCAUACUACCUACGGGUGAAAGCAGGGGAUCUUCGGACCUUGCGCGAUUGAAUGAGCCGAUGUCGGAUUAGCUAGUUGGCGGGGUAAAGGCCCACCAAGGCGACGAUCCGUAGCUGGUCUGAGAGGAUGAUCAGCCACACUGGAACUGAGACACGGUCCAGACUCCUACGGGAGGCAGCAGUGGGGAAUAUUGGACAAUGGGCGCAAGCCUGACGCAGCCAUACCGCGUGGGUGAAGAAGGCCUUCGGGUUGUAAAGCCCUUUUGUUGGGAAAGAAAAGCAGCAGGUUAAUACCCCGCUGUUCUGACGGUACCCAAAGAAUAAGCACCGGCUAACUUCGUG